rnacentral:rRNA from 1 species
ACGCUCGACACCUACGAGGCAGCAGUUGGGAAUAUUGGACAAUGGAGGAAACUCUGAUCCAGUGACGCCGCGUGAAGGAAGAAGGUCUUCGGAUUGUAAACUUAUUUUGUCAGGGAAGAAAAAAUGACUGUACCUGAAGAAAAAGCACCGGCUAACUACGUGUCAGCAGCCGCGGUAAUCUGAGCGGGCUGGCAAGGC